rnacentral:rRNA from 1 species
UAUGUGAUCGUCUCUCGCAUAUCAAUAAGCGGAGGAAAAGAAACUAACAAGGAUUCCCCUAGUAACGGCGAGUGAAGCGGGAAGAGCUCAAAUUUGAAAUCUUAAAGGGUUUCCCUUUACGAAUUGUAGUUUAAAGAAGUGUUUUCUGUUGAGGUUUUGGUAAAAGUUCUUUGGAAUAGGACAUCAUAGAGGGUGAGAAUCCCGUAUUUGACCUUUACUUUCAACUUUGUGAUACACUUUCAAAGAGUCGGAUUGUUUGGGAAUGCAGUCCAAAAUGGGUGGUAAAUUUCAUCUAAAGCUAAAUAUUGGCGAGAGACCGAUAGCGAACAAGUACCGUGAGGGAAAGAUGAAAAGAACUUUGAAAAGAGAGUUAAACAGUACGUGAAAUUGUCAAAAGGGAAGCGUUUGACACCAGUGUUGUUUCUCUGAAAAUCAAUUAAAGAACUGUUUAUGCUAAGCUGUUUAGACUUUAUCAGCUAAUCUGUUUAGUUUUGAGCUUUUCUUUAAUGCACUUUUCAGUUAACAAGUCAACAUCAAUUUCUUUUGCUGUAAAAAGCUUGAGGAAGGUGGCUUGAGAUUCGUCUUAAGUGUUUAUAGCCUCUUGCCUAUGCAGUCGGAGAGAUUGAGGUCUGCAGCGUAGAUCCUUCGGGGCUAAAUGCAUUUGUGCUAAGUUAUAGCAUUUUAUAGACAACUUGUUGACUAUGAUUUGUCUUGUAGCUUACUCGCUUAUGUUAUUUUACCUACGCUUAGGAUGUUGAACGCGCACAGAGUCU